rnacentral:rRNA from 1 species
AGUGAACGCUGGCGGUAGGCCUAACACAUGCAAGUCGAACGGCAGCACAGUAAGAGCUUGCUCUUACGGGUGGCGAGUGGCGGACGGGUGAGGAAUACAUCGGAAUCUACUUUUUCGUGGGGGAUAACGUAGGGAAACUUACGCUAAUACCGCAUACGACCUACGGGUGAAAGCAGGGGAUCUUCGGACCUUGCGCGAUUGAAUGAGCCGAUGUCGGAUUAGCUAGUUGGCGGGGUAAAGGCCCACCAAGGCGACAAUCCGUAGCUGGUCUGAGAGGAUGAUCAGCCACACUGGAACUGAGACACGGUCCAGACUCCUACGGGAGGCGGCAGUGGGGAAUAUUGGACAAUGGGCGCAAGCCUGAUCCAGCCAUACCGCGUGGGUGAAGAAGGCCUUCGGGUUGUAAAGCCCUUUUGUUGGGAAAGAAAAGCAGCAGGUUAAUACCCCGCUGUUCUGACGGUACCCAAAGAAUAAGCACCGGCUAACUUCGUG